rnacentral:rRNA from 1 species
GAUGAACGCUGGCGGCGUGCCUAAUACAUGCAAGUCGAGCGAACAGAUGAGGAGCUUGCUCCCCUGACGUUAGCGGCGGACGGGUGAGUAACACGUGGAUAACCUACCUAUAAGACUGGGAUAACUUCGGGAAACCGGAGCUAAUACCGGAUAAUAUAUUGAACCGCAUGGUUCAAUAGUGAAAGACGGUUUUGCUGUCACUUAUAGAUGGAUCCGCGCCGCAUUAGCUAGUUGGUAAGGUAACGGCUUACCAAGGCGACGAUGCGUAGCCGACCUGAGAGGGGAUAGGCCCCCACUGGAACUGGGACCCGGGCCACAUCCCAACGGGGGGCAGCAGUAGGGAAUUUUCCGCAAGGGGAGAAAGCCUGACGGGGAAACGCCGGGUGGGUGAUGAAGGUCUUGGGAUCGUAAAACCCUUUUUUUGGGGAAAAACAAAUGUGUAAGUAACUUUGCCCGUUUGGACGGUACCUAAUCAAAAAGCCACGCCUAACUACGU